UUUCGCAAUGCCCGAAAGGGUGACGAAGCGACGCCGCGUGCGGGAAGAAGGCCUUCGGGUUGUAAACCGCUGUCGGGAGUUAAGAAAUGCAAGGGUGUUAACAGCAUCCUUGCUUGACUAAGGCUCCGGAGGAAGCCACGGCUAACUCUGUGCCAGCAGCCGCGGUAAUACAGAGGUGGCAAGCGUUGUUCGGAAUUAUUGGGCGUAAAGAGCACGUAGGCGGCUGUGUAAGUCGGUUGUGAAAGCCUUCCGCUCAACGGGAGAACGGCAUCCGAUACUGCAUAGCUUGAGUGCGGGAGGGGAGAGUGGAACUUCUGGUGGAGCGGUGAAAUGUGUAGAUAUCAGAAGGAACGCCGGCGGCGAAAGCGACUCUCUGGCCCGAAACUGACGCUGAGUGUGCGAAAGCUAGGGGAGCAAACGGGAUUAGAUACCCCGGUAGUCCUAGCCGUAAACGAUGGGCACUAAGUAGAGGGGUUUUA
rnacentral:rRNA from 1 species